rnacentral:misc_RNA from 1 species
GUGAAGAACGUAGCGAAAUGCGAUAAGUAAUGUGAAUUGCAGAAUUCAGUGAAUCAUCGAAUCUUUGAACGCACCUUGCACCCUUUGGCAUUCCGAAGGGUAUGCUCGUUUGAGUGUCAUUGUACUCUCACACUCCCAAUUGCUUUGGAUUGGGAGCGGUGGACUUGGGUGUUGCUGCUUGACUGAGGCUCACCUGAAAUAUGUUAGUGCACCUCUUGAUUGGACAUAGUACGGCGUGAUAAGUGUCUUCGCCGGCUCCUCGCAAAGAGGGUGGCCGAUCGGGAGCUCUGUUGCUUCAAACUGUCUUCGGACAAUCUUCUGGCGACUUGACCUCAAAUCGAGUAGGACUACCCGCUGAACUUAAGCAUAUCAAUAAGCGGAGGA